rnacentral:misc_RNA from 1 species
UCUCCGUAGGUGAACCUGCGGAGGGAUCAUUACAGAGUUCAUGCCCUACCGGGUCGAUCUCCCACCCUAUGUUAUUAUUACUUUGUUGCUUUGGCGGGCCGUUAGGCUCCGGCCCGACUACCGGCCCCGGCUGGUAAGCGCCCGCAAGAGGACCCAAAACCCUGAAUAUUAGUGUCGUCUGAGUACUAUAUAAUAGUUAAAACUUUCAACAACGGAUCUCUUGGUUCUG